CGUACUGCUGUGUAUCGUAACGGGUCGUUGUUUUUACUUAGCUUUUGAGUCUACUCGUUAUUUUUUAAUUAAGAUUUUUGAUAUUAUAAACGGAUUGUUCAUAUUUUAUGCUUGAAGUUAACACAAGUAAGUGUCUUGAUCCUUGACUACUAGAUCAAGAAAAUGAUUCAAAUUUAUAAUUUUUAACUUUCAUUUUUUUCAUUUUACCUGAUAUUUUUACUUCAUAAAAACUGUAAAAUAUGAUUUUAUAAGUUAAUUUUGACGAAUAAUACAACUUAACAUUUUUUCGUAUUGAAAAGGAGCGAUUUUCAGUUGUUUUACAAAUGUAUUUUUUAGUUACACUCAUAAUACAUUUGAAUUCCUUCUACAAAACAUUCUGGUAUAUUUGUACUAUCUUUUAUGGCUUAUCAUAAUUAUUAUUUAUUAUCAUCUGUUAUAAAUGUUUUGCAGUUUUACAUUCGUAUUUGUAUUUAAGUUUCAAUUGUAAAUUCCUUUCAUGUAUUUUGUAUAAAAAUGAAGUUUGUCUGUUAGUUUAUGUUUUGAUAGUUUCCACUUCUGAAUUCCUCAGUGUUGUCCACGUACUAGUUGUUAUAUAAAAAUUGUCGUUCUCCUUAUGAUGGCUGUACACCAGAUAUACUCAGGACAUAUUGAGACAUGAAUUACCAUUUCUACCACAUGGGAAAGUUUCAACAUCCUACGUUGAAAAUGGACUAGACGAUCCUGAUAAUAAUAUUAUUUUUAUGCAUAGUACGAGUAAUGGAUAUUGAAUAUAAUUGAUAGUCAAUUAAUAGUAGUGUAACAAAAAAUGGCUGUACACCAGAUAUACUCAGGACAUAUUGAGACAUGAAUUACCAUUUCUACCACAUGGGAAAGUUUCAACAUCCUACGUUGAAAAUGGACUAGACGAUCCUGAUAAUAAUAAUAUUUUUAUGCAUAGUACGAGUAAUGGAUAUUGAAUAUAAUUGAUAGUCAAUUAAUAGUAGUGUAACAAAAAAUGGACGUAUGUCAGAUCACUCAAGGCAUGCAGAAACAUGAAUUCACAUUUCUACCACUUAAGAAAGUAUCAACAUCCUAUGCUGAAAAUGGACUAAAAGAUACUGCUAAUAAUAUUGGGUUUAUAUAAUGUGCGUGUAAGGGUUAUUGAAUAUAAUUGAUAGUAAAUUAAUGGCAGUGAAACAAUUGAGAUUUGUUAAUAAUCUGAAUAAAAUUUUAGUUAACACCUUUGAC